AGACACUGCACGUUUAUCUUGAUGAACUCCACACAGGCAGAAACUCCACGUGACUUGCCCUUAGAGUGACAUGGACAUGUGUGAUUGCGUGCAAAGGUCUUCGAACUCAUUCAUGUUUAUUAGGAGGAGGCAGUCAUUUCUUACGAGCAUAACAUUGUUGUUGCACCACGGACAUCUUAGUGGACAAGCUAGGUUUGAGUAAUGAAGGAAAGCCAAAGUUCCUAAAGAAGAACCACUGACCAGCAGCCAGUACCUGGUGACUGCCCCAUGUAAGCUUUGAACCUGUCACCAGACGUGGAGGGUUUGUGAUUAAGACAGUCGGACGUUAUACCCACUUUACCAUUGUGGCCCUGUUUUGAAAAUGUGGGGUUUUCCAGUCAAAAAAAUGGAAGACAAAAUCAAACUGAGGCAGCGAUGUUGUUGUGCCAUUUUCAAUUCAUGACGUACAGUAAUUGUCCAUAUUACGACAUUACAAUCAAGUUUUGACUCAUGCAGCCAAUGAAAAUACUCAAGGAUAUAUCUACUACAUAAGUGACAAAUGUUAAAAUAUCACAAGGGCAGAUUCACUGGAUAACAGAAUGAUUAUGUGAUAAAUGUCAACAACGAAAUCUAUGACGAACAAUAAGCAAUGUUUUGCCACAUGGACGUGAACAAUUUAUCAAUAGCUACACAGCCAGGUAGCCGAAACAAUGAAAUUUUACGGCAGUUAUUUGUCGGGUCAAUAUGACAUUGCUAUAGUAACAGAUUUACUCCUGGGUACCUGUUAUCAUCGCCAAAUGUUGAUACGUCUAUCUAUCAUAACUUUACGCCACGAUAAUAUCAUCUAUCCAACAAUAAUUUGAAAUGUACAGUCGUUACAUGAUGUGCGAUGUGUGCACAAUGUCUGCAUUAUAUGCACACAAUGUAUGCACUGUAGUAAAAGAGGAAGAAAUUUGCUAUCGCACAUCUGUACACUAGAGAGGCUAUUUAAUGUUCAGGGUCUGGUCGAAUUUCGAUAACAUAACUGUCAAAUUAAAAACGGCCUUUAUUCUUUAUCAUCACCAAGCUUUAAUACACCUAUUGUCUCUGUUUACUCAUAACUACACAAGCUUUCAGUUUAGUUUUCAAUUCAUGAUAUUAAUCACCCAUUUCUAACAACCCACACGAAAUGUGUGAUUGUAUCGCACAUUUAUACACUAGUUCCUAUAUCGUCAUGCAGUGUGUGAUGCGACGAU